rnacentral:rRNA from 1 species
UCAUGGCUCAGAUUGAACGCUGGCGGCAGGCCUAACACAUGCAAGUCGAGCGGAAACGAGUUAUCUGAACCUUCGGGGAACGAUAACGGCGUCGAGCGGCGGACGGGUGAGUAAUGCCUAGGAAAUUGCCCUGAUGUGGGGGAUAACCAUUGGAAACGAUGGCUAAUACCGCAUAAUGCCUACGGGCCAAAGAGGGGGACCUUCGGGCCUCUCGCGUCAGGAUAUGCCUAGGUGGGAUUAGCUAGUUGGUGAGGUAAUGGCUCACCAAGGCGACGAUCCCUAGCUGGUCUGAGAGGAUGAUCAGCCACACUGGAACUGAGACACGGUCCAGACUCCUACGGGAGGCAGCAGUGGGGAAUAUUGCACAAUGGGCGCAAGCCUGAUGCAGCCAUGCCGCGUGUGUGAAGAAGGCCUUCGGGUUGUAAAGCACUUUCAGUCGUGAGGAAGGUAGUGUAGUUAAUAGCUGCAUUAUUUGACGUUAGCGACAGAAGAAGCACCGGCUAACUCCGUGCCAGCAGCCGCGGUAAUACGGAGGGUGCGAGCGUUAAUCGGAAUUACUGGGCGUAAAGCGCAUGCAGGUGGUUUGUUAAGUCAGAUGUGAAAGCCCGGGGCUCAACCUCGGAAUAGCAUUUGAAACUGGCAGACUAGAGUACUGUAGAGGGGGGUAGAAUUUCAGGUGUAGCGGUGAAAUGCGUAGAGAUCUGAAGGAAUACCGGUGGCGAAGGCGGCCCCCUGGACAGAUACUGACACUCAGAUGCGAAAGCGUGGGGAGCAAACAGGAUUAGAUACCCUGGUAGUCCACGCCGUAAACGAUGUCUACUUGGAGGUUGUGGCCUUGAGCCGUGGCUUUCGGAGCUAACGCGUUAAGUAGACCGCCUGGGGAGUACGGUCGCAAGAUUAAAACUCAAAUGAAUUGACGGGGGCCCGCACAAGCGGUGGAGCAUGUGGUUUAAUUCGAUGCAACGCGAAGAACCUUACCUACUCUUGACAUCCAGAGAACUUUCCAGAGAUGGAUUGGUGCCUUCGGGAACUCUGAGACAGGUGCUGCAUGGCUGUCGUCAGCUCGUGUUGUGAAAUGUUGGGUUAAGUCCCGCAACGAGCGCAACCCUUAUCCUUGUUUGCCAGCGAGUAAUGUCGGGAACUCCAGGGAGACUGCCGGUGAUAAACCGGAGGAAGGUGGGGACGACGUCAAGUCAUCAUGGCCCUUACGAGUAGGGCUACACACGUGCUACAAUGGCGCAUACAGAGGGCAGCAAGCUAGCGAUAGUGAGCGAAUCCCAAAAAGUGCGUCGUAGUCCGGAUUGGAGUCUGCAACUCGACUCCAUGAAGUCGGAAUCGCUAGUAAUCGUGGAUCAGAAUGCCACGGUGAAUACGUUCCCGGGCCUUGUACACACCGCCCGUCACACCAUGGGAGUGGGCUGCAAAAGAAAGUAGGUAAGUUUAA